rnacentral:lncRNA from 1 species
UAAAACUUUAUUAGAACUUGUCUAUUUAAGUGUAGUGUGAUUACAAUGAGGGAUCACCACCAUUCAAUUUAUUUUUAAAACCCAAAUCCGAGCUCAAACGGCACAGGAUUAAUUAUUUUGCAGCAGAGUAGUUGAAAACAUAAGCUUAAUAUCAUACUCAUAUCGACACAGGAUUAAUAAGCAAAGAAGCAACAAAAUCUUUCAGCACAACUGCGGAAUGAGUGUAGCCAUCUUCAUACUUGUAAAUGACAUCUAUAACGCGUGUAAGAUUGAGAAUUCACAUCAGAAGUGGCAUUGGGACAACUGUUGGGCGCAGGCAGUCCUCAUUUAUAUCCUUCCAGGCAGUUGAAACUUGUGUCCGAAACUCAUUGCAUGCUUCCUCUUCUGUCGCUCCAUGUUGUUUCAUGUAACACUCAACGCUUGAGGCAACGUGCCCUCUGCUUUGUUCAAACUAUAUGCAAAUACAAAACACAUAUAUAAAAUAUAUUUUGGUUAAAGAGAAAAUUAAAGAUCACGCCAUUCUUUACGGAGGCAAUAUUAUCAUAUAUAUUUACCUUGUGUGACACCAUGUCAUCCAUGAGUCUGCAAACUACAGAAGAAGCCCUAAUAAAUCUAGGGUUGCUGAAUAACCAUUCAAAAGAUUCUUUAGUUACAAUGUCUCCCAUGCCAACAAAAGAUGUGGUUGACAACAUUGGGUAGGCAGAGGUAACUAAUGCAACCGUCAUGUACUCAUCCAUUGUUGGUAUAUAAUUCUGAUGGCACCAUUUAGCUUCAAAGAAGUAAUUCUUAACAAUAUUCUUCAUCUGAUCAUGAGAAUUAAACCAAAUAUAUCAGAUCUUUGUUAGCAGUUAAGAAUGAAUCUUUAAUGAAAUACUGAAGAGUACUCCACCGCUUUUUUUGCAUAAUGGAGGCGGUAUAGUUUUCCCUGAGGGGCCAAAUCUUUCUCUGCUUCACUGUAAACAUCAAGGAGGGCCCGAUAACACAGUUUCAUAUACUCAGGAAGUUGAUCUAUGGCACUGAUAUCCCACCUGCGAAAGAAAAUUGCUAGCCCAUUUGAAUAGGGGGAAUUUUGAUAACAAAAACGAUAUUAGAUCUUGAUCAUGAGAUCCUAAAUUAAUGAUGAGCCAUCCAAACCUUUUAAUAGCUGAAGUAAAGAGCUCAAGUUCUUCAAUUUUGCCAUACACAUCAUAGAUGUCAUCAAUAAUAGAAGUCAUGGAAAUCACUUUUGUCAAUAUUCUUCUAGCAAAUGAAUAUUGGGGCUCGAAAUACACUCCUAAUAUCCAAAAGUAGCACUCUGCAAUUCUGUCUCUUAUAAAAGGUAGCUUAUGCGCAAAGUCUAAUUCUUUCCACCACCUAAAUGAGACGACCAUUUACAUAUUAAUAUUUCUUCAAAACUGGAAAGCUUAGUUAAAUAUGCUCAUAGUGGAAUUGAAAUUAUUUUUAGAACUUAGUUAUUUACCUUGAAAUAUCACCGAGUUCCUUCUGGUGAAGCUUUUGCAAUUUGUUAAAAUCAAGUUUUGCGAAGGUCAAUAGAGCUUCAUUGUGGGAAGAUUGUUCUUGAUAGAUAGGAAUGUAAUGUCUUGCCUCAAGCCUUUGUAAGCCCCUGUGAAUAGGCUGAAUUAAGGCAUGUUUGACUCGCUCGGCAAGUGGGGAGCCGAUUUGAUGAGCCGCUAUUGACUCAAGGUGACUAGUGGUGAAAGCAAGCGCUUCAUCCAGUAUAUUUUCUUCAUGUACCCCGAGAUGCGUGGCUUCAUACAAGCUCAACAUUCCUCCAACAUCUUUCGCAAGAGAUGUCUUAAAGUUUCCAUCGCUGUCUUUGAACCUUUUGAACACAUCUGCUACACCACUUAAAUUUUUAGUGGUUGGACAAAAACUGGUUGUACCGACUGUAGUACUAAUUUAUUUUUAUUUUAUCAUCUUGCGAAAUGCCUCAACAAACUCGAGAGUUGUUUACAUAAAUUGUAAAAUAGAACCGCUGGCUAGAGGACAAAAUAAGGCUUAACUUAUAGUAAAAGCAUGAUGAUCAUCAUACAAAAGACUAAACAAAAAUAACAAAUGCAUUUAUAUACGCGUGAAGAGCGAGGCAGCAUCUCAAGUGAGAGCUGAACGCUUGAGUUUCUUGCUCCAAAAAGUUGGUUGUAAUUAAAGAUGAAUGUGUUUUUUUACAAGAUAUUUAACAAGGGGAAUAAGUGAGAAAAAGACAUACCAGCGGAAAUUUUACAGCCAUGUUGUCUAAGCAAUCGAAACUGAAGAGAGAUAUAAUAGAGCUCAUCAUUUUCAUUAUCCCCAAGACCACAGUCUUGGUGAGCCUCAUGCAAUUUUCCCAAGAUUUCAUCAAUCUCACUUUCAAAAUGGUAAGACACUCCUAAACGCUGAAUCGCAUCAAUCAAGUCCAGAUUAUUCUGUGUAGGCUUGUUGAUAUAAGCUUUUAGCAUCCUUCUAAUUUCCUCCUUCAGCUCUUGAUGCUUUGCACUGCCAUCAUCUUUUUCCUGAGGAAGAAAAUAAAUUGAGAAAUAUUAGUAGAGGAAUGAAUGCAUUUUAGACCGUAUAUGUGUGUGUGUAUUGCAUGCCUACAUCUCGGCAUACAAAUUAACGUAUGCAAUACGACCAUUAUGGUAUACAUUGUACCAUCGAGUCACUAGUAUAUGAAAGGAAACGGUCUCCCCAAAUGCUAGGAUGAAAAUUUGCAGAGCGACGAGUACAAUCUUUCUCAGCGUUUCGUUGGAUAAUUUUAGUAGGAGAGGCUGAAACUUGAAGAGACAUAUUUUCUAUUGCUUUCUGAAGGCUUUUCAGUUUUGAGGUAAAAAGGUUGAUUAAUUCUUGGCGUAGCUUCUUGUGCUUCAAAAGCUGGACGGUGUGAUCUUCACGAGCCUUCAAGCUCGUGCAUUUUAUAGACUUGACUGCCCUAAGAUUAAGCAACAACCUUAAUCUCACAUUGCACAUGUUUGAAACAUUGAAACUCUUUCAAAGUCAAGGCGGACUCCAGGACUUCAAAGUAUCCAGGCUAUUUAAAAAAAAAAAAAUUAUAUUUUAAAUUAAGUGAACAUAAAAUUUUGUAAGUUGAAGAAAAUAAAAUACACCUAAUAAGAGGGGGACAUUAGAGGCCUUACCCCAAAUAAUAUUUACUCCAAACAAAAUAAUUAUAUAAAAAAAUUUGAAAAUCAAAAAGUAAUUCAAAACAAAAAUACUAUUAAAGUUAUACUUUUCGCGACUUCAAAUAAUUGAACUCAUCAAUUUUAGAAUCUGAAUCAAUAGUAUUUGCAAUUUCUCUUUCGGGAUGAUGAUCACAGAAUCCAAAAGAGACUAAUUUUCGAUCAUACGAUAAAGUGAUGUCUUGAUUGUUGGAGAAAAAUUAGGUUUUUAAAUUUUUUAUAAAACCUUUUGAAGAUCGUUCUCAUAUAAUAUAUAAGAAUUUGUAUUCUAGAAAUCGUACCUUGAAAAUCCGAUUUGGCUUUUUCCGCUGAAGUGAUUUAGGCUCCUAGAUCACGAUCCGUCACCACCACGCUUGUUAGAUCACGAACUGUCACCAAUGAUCUUCCAGGUUAUGACUCAGGUUCGAUCUGCACUUGACGUGUGGGCGCCUUUAUCACUACCAAAGCAACUAGCACGAGAAAAUUUUUCUCUCAACAAUAGAGAGAAAAAUAUUAUUCUCUGAUCUGUAUAAAGUGGCUUCUCAAUUUCUUUAGAGAAAAAUAAGCAUUUUAUAUCACCCUUUAGUGAAAACCCUAGGCUCCAAAUAAUCAAAAACAAAACCCACGUUAUUUGCUUUUUCAAUAGGGGACCCACCUUGUAAAAUAACAUAAGGCCCCUUACACAAAAGCUAAUUAAAUGGUGCCUCCCAUUAAAUGAUAUAUUUAGACUUUUGACCCAAAUAGCUAGUUAUCCUACUUAUUAGUCCAGUAGUGGUGCAGUCAAUUAAAUGAGCUAACCCGGGGAUCAUUUGGGAACAUACAAUAGUGGCUACAAUAAUUAGGCCUGUAAUUAAACUAACCCAAUUAUUUAAUUCUAAAUCUACUCCACUAAAAGAUUGGAACUGACUUCCAUAAUUGUAUGCUCGAAUAAUAAUUUGUCCCAAGCCACAUUGAUUUCUUUACUGCACAAUCCUUUGUACCACAUCGUUAAUUAAAUUGAUAUCUCAACUGUCCAAUCAAUUUAAUAACAUCUUAUUCCUUGAUCCUUACUGGUUUUCUCUAAUGAUCAUUUUCAACAUACUAAAUAUGUUGACACACUCUGACCAGAGAAUUCUAUGAUCAAGUGCCGAAAACCCAUCAAGAGAUGUGUUGUACAAAUUCUAUAUUGUUAAUCCAUAACUCCAAUACUCAUAAUUGCUCCCACCAAGAUACCGGGUAAUCUUGACCACAAGGAUGUGUCAUGCCCAUUGGUAACUCAAAUGGAAUAACAAUUACAAUCAUGAAAUCAUAAUUAACUCAAGAUUAAGAUUACAGUAAAAUCAACGCCUAUGAGAUUUAAUAAGUCUGACAGUUAUUACAAAGUUAAUUAAAUCUCAUAUGUGAUCCUGUUCAAUGUAGUCGUACUACAUCAAUAAAUUCAUAUAUGAUUAAAACAAAUCAUUCAAUGAAUUUAUUACAGUCUAUACCUAAAUAAAGUGCCCAACUUUAUUUAUCAACUGCAAACUAAAUUUAUUUAAUCAUAAGAUAACUUGUAUUUAUGUCUUCUGUGAAUCCACAUGGUGAUCACAUAAAUACAUAUAAUAUGAUUAAAUGGACUUUAAUACAAAUAUUAAUGCAAUUAAGAUAUUUGAAUAAAAUACCUCAUUUAUUUUAUUAAUCAGAAAAAUAGUUUAUUACAAUUAAAUAAACACAUAUGCUUUUAAAGAGCAUAUUUUCCCAACAUUGAUAAGGCUCGUGACUGAAAAUGCACGUUUUGUUAUGGCUGUAGAAAUGGGAAGAGUCAACACUAGAUAAAUUAGUCCAUCAAUUAAGAAAUAGUGUUAUGAGUUAUUUGUUUCAAUUGAUUGUCAACAUAAAUCAGAAAGUGAAAUAACUUUAUGAAAAAGUGGAUGAGAAUGCGCAUCAAAUUUAUAAUGUCCCAAUUCUCUUCCCAAAACAAGAAUCUCAUUUGCAGUGGAAUCAUGAGGAUAAAAAUUUUCAGCACGACAACAAAUACGAUCUGUAUCAAAUAAAUUAAACUCAUCAAUUGGAUCCAAAGCCGAGCUUAAAGUAAAGAGUUCCAUAGUUUGCUCUGGGAAGCUUGUAUUUAUCUUUAUCAAUUGAAAACCUUUUAUAGCAUUAAAUACAUCACACAUUUCUAGAAUUGAGAGUUUAUACCUCUAUGAAAUGAGAGUUAUCAUAAUAAUUUUAGACCUAAACUAAUCUUAUUUAGAGAGUUAAUGAUGAAUUUUUUUUCAAGUUAUUUCAUCUUUAUUGGGUCAAGUUCUAUCCACUUCAAUUUUUUAUCUUAAAUUCAUAACUUAAUUUUGCAUCUAUUCGAUCAAUUAAAUACAUUAACGUAAAUACAAAGUGAAUAAGUAGCAUGUUAACUCCUAAUUGCGUCACUAAUGGGGUUGGCAAAAUAAUCAGGCGCCUAACCCUGACUACUGCCAAACCGAACUAUUUUAAUGCAUGCGUUGAUUUAAAAGAGAGAAAGAAGUUUUCCUGACAUAUGUCACUAUAAUUUAACUAAUAAGUUCAAAUCAUUUAGCUCACAUUUCAAAUAUGGUAAGUAUGGCUCAACUUAAUGCCAUUUCUAAGAGGAUCAAAGCUGACCAUAUCGCCAUCAUGGAAUUUGUUUUUUUCGCUGGUAAACCUCAGCUGCUCUAAGGAGAAUUUUACUAAAUUAAAAAGAAAAAGAGAAAAUGACACUUAAUAAGGGACAUAAUAAACUUUGCCCCUCUUAAAACUAAAACAAACAAGUCCUAAUACAAACCUAACAAUAGCAAGCACACAGAAUUCGAAGGGAAGGUAGAAUUUGUAUGGGAAUCAACAUGUUUGUACAGAACAUCCAUUAAACAAGAAAAAUUGAGAACCCGCUCGAGCAAAGGCAUAGGAACAACAGUUGGUCUCAUGAACUCCUCAUUUAUAUCUUUCCAAGCAUUCUCAAUUUUCUUCUGAAACAGUUUAACGGCCUCUUCCUAGGAAACACCAUUAUGCUUCAUGUAGCAUUCAACAGCUGAGGCAACAAUUCCUCUCUGUUGCCCAAACUACAUAACAUUCACAUAUAUAUCGGUCAUUUAAAAUUAGAAUAAUAAUAAUAAUAUAAAGAGCACUAAAUAAUAAAGGGUUUAGUUCAUGCUACCUUAUGAGAGACACUGUCGUCCGUGAGUCUGCAAAUUUUGAGGAAGCCUGAACGAUUCACUACCACAAAAAUGGGUUUUACUGACACUAAAUUAGUGUCAGUAGGUACUUUUCUUGACACUUGUUAAUUGUGUCAGUAAUGCUCAAGGCAGAACACACUGACACUCAUUUUUAGUGUUAGUGAUUUUUUUAUUAGUAAUUCAUGUCACUAUAGUAUCACCAAAAUAAUGAUACGAUAGUGUUAAUAUUUGAUGAUAUUAUUUACAUGUCAGUGAUUUAUGUGACUAUAGUAUCAAUAACAAGCUAGCUCGAUAAUAUAAAAAAUUAUUCAUGUCAAUUUAAAUAUUUAGUGUCAAUAUUUAGUAAUGUUAUGCAGGAUUGGUUAAUAAUUUUUUUUUAUUCUAAUUAUAUUUUUCCUGUUUGUUUUACAACCAAAAGAAUGCUCAAAAUAUAUUAAAUAUAUAAAAUGUCGCAAUAUAAUUCACAUAAUAAACAUCCCAAAUACAUCAUUCAAAUUCACAUGAUUCAACUACACCACUAUCUAGAAAAGAAAAAUAUAAGUACUAAAUUAAGUUUUCAACAACCACAAAGUACUAAUUUAGUUUCCACCAAAAAGAAGCACAAGAACAUCACUCAACAUCCAUCUGCAGCUUCAUUUUUUUUCCCACCUACAACAACAUAAAAUCAAUUAUAUGGAAAUAGAUUAUGGAAAACAAAUCGAUUGCGAGUAGUUUAACAGAGCAAUUGAAGGAUGUUUCAACAAUUAAUAAAACAAUAAGAAAUAAUAUUACAAUAAUACUGAAAGUUAAAGAAAUAAAGAACCCUAGCUUAAGUUGUCUGAAGAAGCCAUGUUGGAUAACUUGCUACAAGUCACAGAAAACAAAACAUCUAAGUCAAUCUAAUUAAAACCUUCCUAUUUUUUAUAAUCAAACAACAGAAAUUUGCAAUCAAAACAUCCAUUUGCCCACUCAAACUUUUAGCCUUAGCAUAAACUUCUUUCACUUUAAUCUCAUAAAACUUGUCAAAUUUAUGAAACUCUCAUCAAGCCUUCUAAAAAACUACCGCUCUCAUUUCCCUCCUUCCUCAACAAUCCUCAAAAGUAUUUUCAUUGCAAAAUAGCCCAAAAAAAUUAUAGGAGUUGUUUUGACUUUAGAAUAGCAACAAAACAACCCCCGGAAAUCUGUAGGGGCUGUUGUGCAGUGAAAACAACCACUAGAAAUCUACAGGGGCUGUCUUGUUGCUGUUCUGUAGUAGAAACAACCCCUGCAAAUUAACAUUUUUAGAUGAAUUAGAAAGGAAAAUAAUGUUACCUAUGAUAUGUUGGGAAAAUAUGCUCUUUAAAAGCAUAUGUGUUUAUUUAAUUGUAAUAAACAAUUUUUCUGAUUAAUAAAAUAAAUGAGGUAUUUUAUUCAAAUAUCUUAAUUGCAUUAAUAUUUGUAUUAAAGUCCAUUUAAUCAUAUUAUAUGUAUUUAUGUGAUCACCAUGUGGAUUCACAGAAGACAUAAAUACAAGUUAUCUUAUGAUUAAAUAAAUUUAGUUCGCAGUUGAUAAAUAAAGUUGGGCACUUUAUUUAGGUAUAGACUGUAAUAAAUUCAUUGAAUGAUUUGUCUUAAUCAUGUAUGAAUUUAUUGAUGUAGUACGACUACAUUGAACAGGAUCACAUAUGAGAUUUAAUUAACUUUGUAAUAACUGUCAGAUUUAUUAAAUCUCAUAGGCAUUGAUUUUACUGUAAUCUUAAUCUUGAGUUAAUUAUGAUUUCAUGAUUGUAAUUGUUAUUCCAUUUGAGUUACCAAUGGGCACGACACAUACUUAUGGUCAAGAUUACUCGGUAUCUUGGUGGGAGCAAUUAUGAGUAUUGGAGUUAUGGAUUAACAAUAUAGAAUUUGUACAACACAUCUCUUGAUGGGUUUUCGGCACUUGAUCAUUGAAUUCUCUGGCCAGAGUGUGUCAACAUAUUUAGUAUGUUGAAAAUGAUCAUUAGAGAAAACCAGUAAGGAUCAAGGAAAAAGAUGUUAUUAAAUUGAUUGGACAGUUGAGAUAUCAAUUUAAUUAACGAUGUGGUACAAAGGAUUGUGCAGUAAAGAAAUCAAUGUGGCUUGGGACGAAUUAUUAUUCGAGCAUACAAUUAUGGAAGUCAGUUCCAAUCUUUUAGUGGAGUAGAUUUGGAAUUAAAUAAUUGGGCUAGUUUAAUUACAGGCCUAAUUAUUGUAGCCACUAUUGUAUGUUCCCAAAUGAUCCCCGGGUUAGCUCAUUUAAUUGACUGCACCACUACUGGACUAAUAAGUAAGAUAACUAGCUAUUUGGGUCAAAAGCCUAAAUAUAUCAUUUAGUGGAAGGCUCCAUUUAAUUAGCUUUUAUGUAAGGGGCCUUAUGUUAUUUUACAAGGUGGGUCCCCUAUUGAAAAAGAAAAUAACGUGGGUUUUGUUUUUUGAUUAUUUGGAGCCUAGGGUUUUCACUAAAUGGUGAUAUAAAAGGCUUAUUUUCUCUAAAGAAAAGAUAGAAGUCACUUUAUACAGAUCAGAUAAUAAGAUUUUUCUCUCUAUUGUUGAGAGAAAAAUUUUCUCGUGCUAGUUGCUUUGGUAGUGAUAAAGGUGCCCACACGUCAAGUGCAGAUCGAACCUGAGUCAUAACCUGGAAGAUCAUUGGAGACAGUUCGUGAUCUAACAAGCGUGGUGGUGACGGAUCGUGAUCUAACAAGAGUGGUGGUGGCGGAUCGUGAUCUAGGAGCCUAAAUCACUUCAGCAGAAAAAGCCAACUCAGAUUUUCAAGGUACGAUUUCUAGAAUACAAUUUCUUAUAUAUUAUAUGAGAGCGAUCUUCAAAAGGUUUUCUAAAAAAUUUAAAAACCGGAUUUUUCCCCAACAUGAUAGUCACCAUUGUCGAAGUCAUAGCAAAUAGCCUGCAAAUUAACAAUAAUAACAACAUUUACAUCAGUUUAUGAAACUGCUUUUAUUGGUUUUUUUUUUUUUUGCAAGGAUAUGUAUAUAAAUAAUAGUGCAUUUAAACUUACAAAUAUACUGUAUCUUAGACCAUCAAUUGAUGUGGUAUAGUUUUUGUAAAGUACCUUAUUUACCUCAGACACUUCACUUUCCUCUAUGCCAAGAUUUUGAAUCAUCUAUUAUACACAAAGUAAAUUUGUAGAAACUAGUUAUACAUUUGUUAAACAAAUAAACAACUUGAAUGACAAAAGUUUACUAACUGAAUAGAAAUGCACCAAGGUCAUUAUAAAUUGGCACUACUUACUGAAAUGAUCAACAACAUUGACAAUAACACCUCAUACAUGAAUUCAGAUUUUAAGCAUAUAAAGAGAGUUCAAAUGAAUGAUUGCUUAUACAUUUUAUAACAGAUUUACAACAAUAAAGUAGAUAAAUGGCAACUCUACUAGAGGUAUGUUUCUAGUAUAAGGAAUCAAACAUAAGUAAAGGAGUAAGGUAGUAUCUUAUCAUCUGCAUAAUCAACACACCAUGACAGAAAUCGAAUCAAAUAAAUACUACGAAUGCCGAAUGGAAGAAAGAAAUUAAAACAUUUUCUGCAAAAUAUUAUUAUUAUUAUUAUUAUAGCCAGAUACUCAAAAGCUUAAACCAAAAUAUCAAAAAAAAAAUUUUAUAAAGCAAUAACAAUAAACCUAAGCAGUAAACACGACAGACCCACCAGCUUUUUUAAUUUUCUACUUGGCUGUUUUGGAAACAAGCUUGGCCUUCACCACAACGAGUUGGUUCUCAAGCAAAAGGCCCUUACCCAAAACCUUAAAGUAGCCAAACUGAGUCACAUCGAUCGUGAGAACAUUGUCUUUGGAAGCCUUGGCUUAUGUUUUUUUUGCCUUUUUAGUUUAUAUAAUGUAAUUGUGUUAUUAUAAUUAUUUCGAUUAAUCUUGAUUUUGUUUGACCAGGAGUUUCAAUUUUAUUGCUAAUGACAUGAUGGGGCUUGUUGAAGAAGAGGGCUUGGAUGGAGCUGCUGCUAAUAUUUUAUCUGAUGAAGAGAUCACUGUUGUGAUUAUAUCGUUAUGAUAUUAUUGAAUUUUGUAAUAUAAAUUGUUUCAAUUGUAGUGAUUGUCAAAUUAAUUUAUUUUUUUAAUGAAAUAUAAUUUUUGUAUUCAAUUCUUAGUUUGUUUGUAGCUGUAAGUUUUUAAUAUUUAUAAAAAAAAAAAGAAAUAUUGGAAAAAAAAAUAAGUAAGAGGAUUGUGGAAGCAAAAUGAGCAUAUAAAAUAAAACAAAAUAAAAUAAAAUAAAAAAGUAGCACAAUUCACAACGAUCAUAUUACAUGUUGUUAAAAGAAAUUUACAUAUGAAGGUUUUGACGACAUUAAAUUUGCGUUGUUUAAAGUAUUUUUAACUACAAGCGCAUGACUUUUAACAAUGUGUGUUGCAUGUCUUUAAAAGUAACUUUAAGACAAAAUCUUGAUCGACAACGCCGCAGAUACACGUUGUUAAAAGUUCAAGAUUCUUUUUAUUUUUAAGGAUUAUCUCUUAUUUAUACCGAGCUAUUAGCCGUGAAUCUCAUGUAUGGCAGAAUAGAAUGAGAUAUGAGAAAUAGAAACAAAGAUAUAGAAAAUAAGGGAUAAUAAAUCUACAAACUCUUAUAGAAAUUUAUUUAGUAUAAACUCAUGUGGUAUAAAUAAAAUAGUUGAUGAUAAUGCAAAAUAAUACAAAUAAAUCAUAUUUGCUAAGAGCUAUUUCAUCAGACCAAUAUAUUUGUGCCAUAUAAGUUUAUACAAAAUAAGUUUACACAAUAGUUAAAUUAGUUGAAUUAAAUUCAUCUUUACCCACAUGAUUUAUUUUUAUUAAUUUUUAUUUCCAUACAAUCAACAAAGUUUAUGCUACAUCAAUUUAUACGAAAUAAAUUUAUAUAAAAGUUUGUAACUUUACCAGCACUAGUGAAUUCAAAGUUUUUUUUUCAUAACUUCUAGAACUUCAUAAUAGUUCCAAUCCAUUCCAUAUUUUAUGGGAACCGUAAAGUUAAAUGAGUUAUUUUUCCCAUCUUAUGUUAAUGGAUCAUAUUGUUCAACAAAUGUGUGCUAUUAUUGUGCCAUAACAUUUCAGUUAUUUUGAUUAUGACUAUAUAAUAUACAAAAUUUCUGAAGGGAACCCAAUAAUUUCAAUUGUACAUUCAAUGAGAUACACAUUUUUAUAGUUUAAUUAAAAAUUAAUAAAUAAAUAGAUGAAGUAGUACUAACAACUCAUGUUCUUCAUACUUAAUGGGUUUUCAGUGUUUUAGAAAAAUUCUAAUUGUCUUGACACUUUAUUGAGUGUUGUAGUUUAGCACAAAGAAUACAAAGCAAAUUAAGCUGUGAAAAUAUCUGAGCCUAUCAAAAACUUUAUAAAUGAUGUGAAAUAAGUGGUGAACUUACACCAUUUACAAAACGCAAAAUUCCCACAUUGGAAAUUUGGAGCAACCCCCCCACCCAUGCACUAUGAUAUAUAUGUGGAAGCUCGUGUGAUAAGUGAAUUAACAAUAACAAAGGUAUUUAAAGUACUUUAUUUAGUUUAAAAUUUUCUUUAUCAUUUAUUUAUUUUAUAACAAUAAAAAAAUAAUUUUAGUAUUUUUUUUCAUAAUUAGGUCUCUCAAAAUAGGUGUUUAAUAAUAAUAAACAAAACAGAAACUAAGAAAUUAGAAGGGGAACAUAGCGAGCUUUAACUCUAAGAGGAAUAACACAAAAGCUUAUAAAGAGAGCCGCAAAAAACAAAUGAUAGAGAAAUCGCAUAUCAUAUCUAAUUAAAAUCUAUACUUGCGAAAACCAUUGGAAUCUUGAUAAAAAAACUUUGAAUCUCGGCAGGUAGAUCACUCUACCAAAAAAAAGUAUCACACUGAAGCCUCAAAUUAGUCAAGAUGUCAGCUACACAAUUAUUCUCUCUAUAGGUAUGAGAAAAUCUAAAUGGAAAAACAAUAAUUAUAAUUAAUAUUGAAUUUAAUAAUCAUACCAAAAUUAGUAACAACAUUAAUAAUAAUUUUGAGUUCAAUAAGAGUAGGACUAUUGACACCCCUUUAAAUACCUCUUAAAAAUCCUUUAAUUAUUUUACAAUUUUAACCUUCAUUAAAAUUACAUAACAGAACAAUUUUUAAUUAAACCCUUACUCAAAAGUCAAAUAAUUUUUUUCCUUAAAAAUUCUUUAUUAGCACCACCGUCCAAAUAUCGCUUAAAAUUCUGCUUAUAAGCAGAAUAGUGAGUUGGAAAAGAAGAAAAGGCGUAGUGCAAGUGGAACAAAAAGGUGUGGCUUUCUAUUUUUAUUAAAGGGACAAAUGUGGGCGAAUAAUCAAGAUCGGAUGUUAAAGUGAUUUGUGAAUUAAUCAUCAUUUUGCACAACAUCUCGAGGGCCUCUCAUUUGCAGUGUAAUCAUAAAAACCAUCCUCCUGGUUUCUGUUCUCUUGAUUGUACAUGUCUUGCAUAAAUCAACCCAAGUAAUUUGAAAAACGCCAUCUUAAUAUGACUAACUAUGAAGAAACUUCAUGUAUUUCAUAUUUAUUAUUUAAAUAUCAGACAAAUAUGCUCAGUCAUAAUUUAUUUUUCGAUUAAGAGAGGAAAGGAAUUGUACGGAAAUGGAAAUCCAAAAUUUUAGAAAUUAAAAAGGUUACAUUUUUCUCUUAUUUUUUGGGUAAAGAAUUUACCACUAGUGGCUGUACUGGACAAAAGAAACCCAUAAUUUUUUUUCUCCUGAAUGGAAUUUACACUAAUAAUUUUUAAUAAGGAUAUUUUUAUCAUUUCAGGAGGUGUUAAAAGAAUUUUAUAAUAUUUUUAAAUAUUUUAAUGUAGUUAAUUAAAAAAAUGGUGUUAAGAAGUAUUUAGAGGAGCGUCAGUAGUCCCACUCAUUCAAUAAUCAUACUGGAAUAGAAAAAAAUAAGCAUACCAGAAUGGGAAAGAGCAAUAUUUAACAACAAUAAUAAUUAAUAUCUUCUUAAGACUUAAUUUAUUAAUCGAGCAAACUAGUUGAUAAUUUAAAUUAAAAAAGAACUAUAAAAACUUUAAUAUCACUUGUCUAUUUAAGAGUAGUGUGAUUACAAGGGGGGGUCACCACCCUUCAAUUUAUUUUUAAAAUCCAAAUCCAAGCUCAAACGGCACAGGAUUAAUUAUUUUGCAGCAGAGUAGUUGAAAACAUAAGCUUAAUAUCAUACUCAUAUCGGCACAGGAUUAAUAAGCAAAGAAGCAACAAAAUCUUUCAGCACAACUGCGGAAUGAGUGUAGCCAUCUUCAUACUUGUAAAUGACAUCUAUAACGCGUGUAAGAUUGAGAAUUCGCAUCAGAAGUGGCAUUGGCACAACCGUUGGGCGUAGGCAGUCCUCAUUUAUAUCCUUCCAGGCAUUUGAAACUUGUUUCCGAAACUCAUUGCAUGCUUCCUCUUCUGUUGCUCCAUGUUGUUUCAUGUAACACUCAACGCUUGAGGCAACGUGCCCUCUGCUUUGUUCAAACUAUAUGCAAA